rnacentral:rRNA from 1 species
UACGUAGGGGGCAAGCGUUGUCCGGAAUCAUUGGGCGUAAAGGGCGCGUAGGCGGUUCGUUAAGUCCUGUGUGAAAUCCCCCGGCUCAACUGGGGAACUGCACAGGAAACUAGCGGGCUUGAGUUCGGGAGAGGGAAGCGGAAUUCCGGGUGUAGCGGUGAAAUGCGUAGAUAUCCGGAGGAACACCGGUGGCGAAGGCGGCUUCCUGGACCGACACUGACGCUGAGGCGCGAAAGCUAGGGGAGCAAACGGG